ensembl:lncRNA
CUUGGGAAGUUUUCUGCCAUCACUUCUGUGAAGAGUUUUUUAUGUCAUCUGCACUCUCUCCUCUUUCUUCAUUGACUCCAAUCAGUCUUAUGUUAUUCUUCUUUGCAUCGUCUAGCAGCUGCUGGUUUGAUUUGUCAUGUUUCCUUACAAUUUUAAAGCAAUUUUUCUUCUCCUGGUUACUAAUUGCAAUCUUAUCUUCUAUAUCUGAAAUUCUAUCCUCACAUUGGUUCAUUUUGCUCUGCAGACUUUUGAUGGAGUUUUUAAUCUCCUGGAAAUCUGUUUGCAUCUGUUUUAUGGAUUCCAUUUGUUUCCUGUGUUGGGACUCCAUCAUGUUCCUCAGAUCCUCUAUUUUUUUAUCUGUGUCAUCUCUAGAUUUAUUAAUCAUGUCUUGCACCAUAAGCAAAAUCUUUGCUGUUAUCUGAGUAAUUAUUUCUGAUUUCAUUUUUCCUGGAUCCUCUUUUGUUGCCAGUUCAGAGAGUCCAGGUGGUUGAGUAUCAGAUUGUUCCAUCUUGUUUCCCUUUGGGAUUGCUGUAGGUGAUCCAGAAGAUUGUUAUUGAGGCUUGUUUAUGUGUCUUCUCAUUUCCAUGGGGCGGGGGGGGCGUUGUGCUUCUGGCACCCGCGCAGCUCACCUUCUCUGCCCUAGGAGCUUGGGAUGGCGGUGGGGGAGCUUCCAUCUGGGUGCUGGGACCAGCUCAGCUUCUCUGCCACCUUCUAGGACUUUUUAGUGGAACUAAAUCAGGCUCUGAACCCAGAGAUGAAAGUUGAUCACCCACAGAGUUUCCUAGGCCACCCUAAUGGAGUGUCUUAUUUGGAAGUGAUCAUCCGCCCUGUGGUGUUCAAUGGUCACUGGUGAUGACAAAACCUUGCCUGCCCACAAGCCCUUGCUGUGCUUCCAUCUGCAGCAGGAUUUGCAAGACGGUCAUCAAUAUACAAAGUUCUACACUGUCUCCGCCGUGCAGGACUCCCACAACAGGAAGAGAAGGAUGAAAGGAGAAGCAGCUCAUGGAAGAAGAAAGUUAUUGAUGAAAAUAUUUGCAAAGAGGAAUGUUCUGAAAUGAUAUGAGUUGCAUAACUGAACAUGAGCAGAACGGGAACUGGGUGCUGCUUUCCGAAGUGUCCUCUCACUGUUCUGCUGAAUUUUGGGUCUGCUCAGCUUUGGAGGAGCAGCUGAUGGUGAGGAGAGGACAUUUGGACAUGGGUACCUCCCUGCCUUGAGAAUCUUUUGCAGUGGAGAAGGGGAGUAAGCUGCAGUGGGAUCAGUUUAGCACCUGAACUUCUCAUUCCCUGCCACAUUCCCCCUUUCCUCCUCCCACCUUUCCUAACUUCUGAAACAGACUCUGAGCUGAGAUCCAUUCCCAUUUGCUCUUACUCUGGAGAGCGUUCUUAAGAUAUUUUCAUCUGUUUCUCAU